UCUGUGACCUUCGCUGUCUCCUGGCAUGUGGAACAUUUUGCACUGCUGUUUUUACAAGCCAGGCGCUUAGCUGUCCAUCAACUGCCAGGAAAAUGCCUCGGAUCCUUUUGCCCCAUCGGACUCGCGCGCACAUCGAUUCCCCAGAAACCACAGUCGCAGUAGCUGUAACCGCUUCUCUGCGCUUUUCUGCCAAGCUCUUAAACACACUGAAACAAACCCUCUCCACUCUUUAUGACCUCUUUUACACACCGGCCUUCUCUCUUUACAUCUCCACCUCAUUCAUCCAUCCUGCGUGUCUCUCCAUCAUUUAUCUCUCUCGAAGUCUGCUCCCGAAAUAUCCUUUCUGCUUGGAAACAGGCCGUGUUAAAAGCUUGUUGUGGACCGCGGCUCUCUUUUUACCGUCACAUGGAAGGAUGCAGAGGUCAGGUGUUCCUUUGGGUUUGGAUGUCUUUACUUUAUUGCAGAGAUGGAGGGACGGAGGUACCGCUAAAAGCAGCCGUCAUUCAGACGCAGAUGGAACUGCAAAUGGAAAUCACAGAAAAAGAACAAGCAACUCAAGGAAAACAUCUUAUUUGAGUUCUACAGAAUGUAAGACGAAAUUAAAGUCGCAAGCAGCAUUGUAUGGCCUGCAGCUGCUGCCCACCCUCACCCAAACCGCGCCCCCAGACCCGCCCCCACAGGCCAAGUUGCUGCCACACCCCUGCCUGUGCUACCCUGUUAACAGAUGCACAAAUUCAUGACAAAAAAGUAAAAAUGGCGGCUUUUCAAUUGGCUUUAUCUUCAUAGGGACCAUUUUAUUUUUUGUUUACCUGGGGGUGACAAACACGUCUAUGUAAUUUUUUGAAGAAUCGGCAAAAGUCAACUUUUGGAUUUCCUUGGCAACGGAGGUUUUCAAUUCACCACGCUAACAUUCCUCAUGUGUUCAUAUCGUAUGUAAUGUUGUUUUGUACAGCUAAAGCCAAGGCUUCGUGUAUUACAUUUUCACAAUCUGGUACAAAAUGUGCGAGCAACAGCAGAACGCCAAUUUUGCUAGCUUAACAUCUUAACUCCAAAUAAAAAUUUAAAAUCUUGAAAACCAACAUAUUUUUCUAAGUAGCUUCCCAGUGAUGCUUAAAAAAUGAUGCGGCAAUAAAUCAAAAUCCCUAGGAGGAGUUACAACUUGUAGCUGCUAAUACAGGUGAGUUUUUUUUUAGAAUAGUCAAGAUGGCGGCCUCUUUCUGAGGUCAAAGGUUAAUGGAACUUCAGUUGUGGUUGGUGCAUGUGUGUGAAAUUUCAUAAAGAUUGCCCAAACAAAAGUUUUCUUUAUCCAUUUUGUGGGAAAAACACCAAAUUUGACACUGGGCCACUAAAUGGCCAUCAAGCCAUAGGUCCUGUGUCCAUCCUAUAAUAUUUUCAAAACCUCCUUUGGAUAUCUCUGACACACGUGUUUUGGUUUUGUUCAUUGAUUUUGACAUAUUUCUUUUUAAGCACCGUUAGAUGUUUUGGCCCUGUUCACUAUUUUGACGGUUUCACCCGCUGUGAUGUCAUCACAACUUUUUUUUGGGAGGGGUCAUUCACUAUGUCCAAAAUUCAUUUUCACCAGGCACAGGUGUGUGCAAAUGUCUUUUUUCUUUUCUUUUUUUUUGAGUAUUUGACCAUGUGGCGAGAAAGAUAUUUUCACUCAAAAAGUAAAAACAUGUAACUAAAGUUUUCCAAGUACUAAGUAGUAAUUUUGAGAUUGUCAUAAUUCAAUUCAAUCAAAUACCAGUUGUGACAAUGUUGUGGUUCAAGGUUUUUAGUGGCUAAAGGCACUUUAGCUGUUGUCUGUGUUCACAGGUAAGUUCUAGAAGAAGCGUCUCCUCCUUUUACCUGAGCUGACUAUAAGAUCCUCAAAGAUUUGUAACAGCUCAGAGUCGUAUUAAAUAAAGAAAAUAAUCUAUUUAUAAUCUACAAAGUUGAACUUGAAUAUUUUCCACUAAAAUCCGUUUUAUUUUUGUUUGUUUUUUGUGUUUGUCUUGGUUGUGUUUUCCCUCCUAUCACAGUCUCACCUGGUUUCAUUUGCUGAUUCUUCACAGCUGUCCUCAGUUUGGUCCAUCAUCCUCGGUGUAUUUAAGAGUCUAGGUUUUCAGUUUAGCUUGGCCGGGUUGUCUGUCAUCAGUUUUGGUCCUCCCUUGUCUUUAAGUUUAUUGAAGUUUUGAAUGCUGGUCUCCUCCUCCAUUUUUUUUUUGGUUCCUACCCCAAUGGUUCUUGACAUUUACUGGCUAACAUAAAUUUGAGCUGAAUUCAUUUCUUGACAGCUUAUCUGUAAAAAGCCAAUUAAAAUAAUCCAGCCUCUGGUUUAAAGUGUUCUAACAAAGAAGGGUGUGGAAUAACACAAUCAACAUUAAACUAUGUGAGGAUCAAAUAUUCUAAUAUUUAGCGAAUUUAUUUCAUCAGCUCACUGAGGAAGCUUUUCAGACAGUGAACAGAUUUACAGACAUUUCUGUACACGCCACAUUUUUGCUCCACUUUGUUUUCUGAACACUUAAAAUAGCAAUCGCUAAACAGAAAGUGAUGCAGGACACUCUCUGACGAGACAUGCAUCAAUCCAGAGAUGUGUUAACUCAUCUUAAAGCUGAUAAAUGUGAAUUUUCACCUAUAAGGGAAAAAAAAUGUUGAGUACAGCAAACCUUGGCAGACUAGUUUCUGUACGUAACUGAAUAAAUCAGCCCUGAAGACUCGCCAACUACCUGUCAGUUUUAAUUCAAAAGUACUGCUCUCAUAUUAGCAACCCUUCUCUGGCAUGUGCUGAAGAUAAAAGCACCGACCUAUUUA